rnacentral:rRNA from 1 species
GACGAACGCUGGCGGCGUGCCUAAUACAUGCAAGUCGAACGCUUCUUUCCUCCCGAGUGCUUGCACUCAAUUGGAAAGAGGAGUGGCGGACGGGUGAGUAACACGUGGGUAACCUACCCAUCAGAGGGGGAUAACACUUGGAAACAGGUGCUAAUACCGCAUAACAGUUUAUGCCGCAUGGCAUAAGAGUGAAAGGCGCUUUCGGGUGUCGCUGAUGGAUGGACCCGCGGUGCAUUAGCUAGUUGGUGAGGUAACGGCUCACCAAGGCCACGAUGCAUAGCCGACCUGAGAGGGUGAUCGGCCACACUGGGACUGAGACACGGCCCAGACUCCUACGGGAGGCAGCAGUAGGGAAUCUUCGGCAAUGGACGAAAGUCUGACCGAGCAACGCCGCGUGAGUGAAGAAGGUUUUCGGAUCGUAAAACUCUGUUGUUAGAGAAGAACAAGGACGUUAGUAACUGAACGUCCCCCGACGGUAUCUAACCAGAAAGCCACGGCUAACUACGUG